rnacentral:rRNA from 1 species
GUCGAGCGAGCGGAACUAACAGAUUUACUUCGGUAAUGACGUUAGGAAAGCGAGCGGCGGAUGGGUGAGUAACACGUGGGGAACCUGCCCCAUAGUCUGGGAUACCACUUGGAAACAGGUGCUAAUACCGGAUAAGAAAGCAGAUCGCAUGAUCAGCUUUUAAAAGGCGGCGUAAGCUGUCGCUAUGGGAUGGCCCCGCGGUGCAUUAGCUAGUUGGUAAGGUAAAGGCUUACCAAGGCGAUGAUGCAUAGCCGAGUUGAGAGACUGAUCGGCCACAUUGGGACUGAGACACGGCCCAAACUCCUACGGGAGGCAGCAGUAGAGAAUCUUCCACAAUGGACGCAAGUCUGAUGGAGCAACGCCGCGUGAGUGAAGAAGGUUUUCGGAUCGCAAAGCUCUGUUGUUGGUGAAGAAGGAUAGAGGUAGUAACUGGCCUUUAUUUGACGGUAAUCAACCAGAAAGUCACGGCUAACUACGUGCCAGCAGCCGCGGUAAUACGUAGGUGGCAAGCGUUGUCCGGAUUUAUUGGGCGUAAAGCGAGCGCAGGCGGAAGAAUAAGUCUGAUGUGAAAGCCCUCGGCUUAACCGAGGAACUGCAUCGGAAACUGUUUUUCUUGAGUGCAGAAGAGGAGAGUGGAACUCCAUGUGUAGCGGUGGAAUGCGUAGAUAUAUGGAAGAACACCAGUGGCGAAGGCGGCUCUCUGGUCUGCAUCUGACGCUGAGGCUCGAAAGCAUGGGUAGCGAACAGGAUUAGAUACCCUGGUAGUCCAUGCCGUAAACGAUGAGUGCUAAGUGUU